GCGUAUACAGGUGGGCUCCAGUCACUCCACUGCCCAUCGUACUCAUCCUUGGCCCGGAGCUGUAUCACAUACUCCACCAUAGGCAGCACAUCUCUGAUGGUGUACUGCUGGUGUUUGAUGGUGUCUCUCUGUGCCUGUGAGUCCAGGGAGGAGGCGGGCCGGUAUUGGAUCUCGUAGACCAGCUCGUAGUACUGGUCAUGACGCUUCCAGGAGCAGGGGAAGCGCCAGCUCACGCUGAGCAGCCUCUCAUGGCCCUCCACCGCCCGCACCGCCACCGCAGACGGGGGCUCGGGUUUGACUUGGAACAGACAUGAUCAUCACUGCAAGGUAGGAGGGAAGACAUGCCCCCCCACACACACACACACACACACACACACACACACACACACACACACACACACACACACACACACACACACACACACACACACACACACACACACACACACACACACAGACAAACUCACACACACACACACACACAAACAGACAA